rnacentral:rRNA from 1 species
GGUUGACCUCGGAUCAGGUAGGACUACCCGCUGAACUUAGCUAUAAUAAA